AUUCCCGCUCUAAAUCUUUGUCUCCCCCCUCCUGACGGGCAGUCUGCAUGGUGAAAAUGUGAAGAUCGGACUGUUUCCCUGCAUAACAUAGAAGCCGGGCUUGCUGGCCCAACAGUGAGCUGAGGGCCAGCCUCAGGUGCACCCCAGGCCUCUGGAGAGCUUCCCAGGUUCCUUCACACCAGCCUGACUUCCUGCUUUGCCCAGCUCCUUCCCUGGGGCAGCUCACCAUCCUCUGCUCCUGGUGCUGGGGAGAUGGGCCAACAGUUCUUUCCAACACAGGGCAGGGGUCUGGAGGGCAGCCCUUUGGGGGACAGUAUGGCAUUCGGAUAGAAUUCAAGGAAGGAUUCCAAGUUGGCAGCCUGAUAGUUCCCUGGGUGUGCCUACUUGGCCCAGAAGCAUACAAAAGCAUAUUCUAGCUGGAAACUUCUCACCUCCUGCUUGAGACCGCUCGCCAGGAUUCUCCUGCUCGCCAGGCUGAGAGGUAGGGUGAGGCCUAUGGCUGCAGCACAGUGGGGAUGUGUGCUUACAUGGAAGAGAGUGAAGAGAACUGUGCUCACCCUGAUGACCCACAAGCUUCUAAUGCCCACUUCCUGCAAGGGACAGAACAAUUCUCGAGAGGGAAUGUGGGACCGGCACCUCCAGCAGCCCCUGGAUGUACUCUGGGAGAGGCUUCGACAGCAAGAGCUGCCCAAUUCAAAGGCAGGCUGGAUGGAGCAGCGACCCCUUCUCCAAGGCAUGGGCUGGUUGGAGCUGAGUAGCUUUGAAGGGCUGGGCUGGAAGUGAGCCUAAAGGCAUGAAGACAUUGGAAGAAAGGAAAGAGCUACUUUGGCUCAGCCCCUGGGGGCAAGUGAUUGACUCAGAGACUCCAUCUCCUCAACUGAGUAACUAUAGUACCGCAUCUAAAACACAUCUCUCCUGCUUGUGUCUUGAAGAUCAGAUGAGGUAGUGGACGGGAGAGCACCUGGAGAGCUGGCUGCUGGCAUGGAGAGGGUGCAUCUUGCUACCAACCUAGGGCGGGAAGGACAGGACCCAGGCUGCAGGGAUCAGAAGAUUUCAGAGCCCUCUUCACUUAAGCCCUGGAGCCUGGGCAGGUUUCCAUCAGGCAAGUCAAGUAAUUGAGCUCAGGUUAGAUUAA